rnacentral:rRNA from 1 species
ACAAGCGGUGGAGCAUGUGGUUUUAAUUCGAAGCAACGCGCAGAACUUACCAGCCUUUGACAUGGCAGGACGAUUUUCAGAGAUGGAUCUCUUCCAGCAAUGGACCUGCACACAGGUGCUGCAUGGCUGUCGUCAGCUCGUGUCGUGAGAUGUUGGGUUAAGUCCCGCAACGAGCGCAACCCUCGCCUUUAGUUGCCAUCAUUCAGCUGGGCACUCUAAAGGGACUGCCGGUGAUAAGCCGCGAGGAAGGUGGGGAUGACGUCAAGUCCUCAUGGCCCUUACGGGCUGGGCUACACACGUGCUACAAUGGCGGUGACAGUGGGAUGCAAAGGGGCGACCCCUCGCAAAUCUCAAAAAGCCGUCUCAGUUCGGAUUGUACUCUGCAACUCGAGUGCAUGAAGUUGGAAUCGCUAGUAAUCGUGGAUCAGCAUGCCACGGUGAAUACGUUCCCGGGCCUU